rnacentral:rRNA from 1 species
UACAGAGGUCCCAAGCGUUGUUCGGAAUUACUGGGCGUAAAGGGCGCGUAGGCGGCCCACUAAGUCAGACGUGAAAUCCCCCGGCUUAACCUGGGAACUGCGUCUGAUACUGGAGGGCUUGAGUAUGGGAGAGGGAUGUAGAAUUCCAGGUGUAGCGGUGAAAUGCGCAGAUAUCAGGAGGAACACCGGUGGCGAAGGCGGGUCUCUGGGCCGAUACUGACGCUGAGGAGCGAAAGCGUGGGGAGCGAACAGG